rnacentral:lncRNA from 1 species
AUAGGAUCGCUCAGACAUCCAUCAAACCCCUAAGCUAGUGAGACAGCAGCAGGGAGGAUGGGACCCGGAAGAGAAGCUGCCGCUAGGGUGAGUUACUUCCCCGCCCCCCGGAGGAGAGAGGCAGCCUGGUUACACCAUGUUUCAGUUUCUGCUUGGUUUUGCUCUUGGCAAUGUGGUUGGGAUGUAUCUGGCGCAGAAUUAUGAUGUAAGUAUUAUUAUUUAUUAAAGUAGUAGUAGUAUUUUGCAGAAGUGGCCCUACCUGUUUUACUGGCCAGGGUGGAAAAUACUUUGACUGCCCCUUCCCCAAGCAGCUGAGCUCAAACAAAUAAACAAAAAAAAGCUGGCCA